GACGAACGCUGGCGGCGUGCUUAACACAUGCAAGUCGAACGGAGAUUCAGCAAUGGAUCUUAGUGGCGAACGGGUGAGUAACGCGUAGGCAAUCUGCCUUCUAGAUGGGGACAACAUCCCGAAAGGGGUGCUAAUACCGAAUGUUGCAGUAUUUCCGCAUGGAGAUGCUACUAAAGGUGGCCUCUGAAUAUGCUACCGCUAGAAGAUGAGCCUGCGUCUGAUUAGCUAGUUGGAGGGGUAACGGCCCACCAAGGCUUCGAUCAGUAGCCGGUCUGAGAGGAUGAACGGCCACGCUGGGACUGAGACACGGCCCAGACUCCUACGGGAGGCAGCAGUGGGGAAUCUUCCGCAAUGGACGAAAGUCUGACGGAGCAACGCCGCGUGAGUGAAGAAGGUUUUCGGAUCGUAAAGCUCUUUCGUCAGGGACGAACGUAUUUCUUGUAAAUAAUGAGAGAUAGUGACGGUACCUGAAUAAGAAGCCACGGCUAACUACGUGCCAGCCGCCGCCGUAA
rnacentral:rRNA from 1 species